AUACGUAGGGGGCGAGCGUUGUCCGGAAUGAUUGGGCGUAGAGGGCGCGUAGGCGGCCCGGUAAGUCUGGAGUGAAAGUCCUGUUUUUAAGAUGGGAAUUGCUUUGGAUACUGUCGGGCUUGAGUGCAGGAGAGGUAAGUGGAAUUCCCAGUGUAGCGGUGAAAUGCGUAGAGAUUGGGAGGAACACCAGUGGCGAAGGCGACUUACUGGACUGUAACUGACGCUGAGGCGCGAAAGUGUGGGGAGCAAACAGGAUUAGAUACCCUGGUAGUCCACACUGUAAACGAUGAAUGCUAGGUGUAGGGGGUAUCGACCCCUUCUGUGCCGCAGUCAACACAAUAAGCAUUCCGCCUGGGGAGUACGGCCGCAAGGUUGAAACUCAAAGGAAUUGACGGGG
rnacentral:rRNA from 1 species